UACGGAGGGUGCAAGCGUUGCUCGGAAUUAUUGGGCGUAAAGGGUAGGUAGGUGGUCUCGUUUGUCUGGGGUGAAAGCCUUGAGCUUAACUCAAGAAGUGCCCCAGAAACGGCGAGACUAGAGUUCUGGAGAGGGUCGUGGAAUUCCCGGUGAAGCGGUGAAAUGCGUAGAGAUCGGGAGGAACACCAGAGGCGAAGGCGGCGACCUGGACAGAUACUGACACUCAACUACGAAAGCGUGGGGAGCAAACAGG
rnacentral:rRNA from 1 species